rnacentral:rRNA from 1 species
UACGAAGGGGGCUAGCGUUGUUCGGAAUCACUGGGCGUAAAGCGCACGUAGGCGGAUUGUUAAGUCGGGGGUGAAAUCCUGAGGCUCAACCUCAGAACUGCCUUCGAUACUGGCAAUCUCGAGUCCGGAAGAGGUUGGUGGAACAGCUGGUGUAGAGGUGAAAUUCGUAGAUAUUAGCUAGAACACCAGUGGCGAAGGCGGCCAACUGGUCCGGUACUGACGCUGAGGUGCGAAAGUGUGGGGAUCAAACAGG